rnacentral:piRNA from 1 species
UGGUAAAAUGGCACCUGCUUAAGUCAUCACU